rnacentral:rRNA from 1 species
AACGAACGCUGGCGGCAUGCCUAACACAUGCAAGUCGAACGAGACCUUCGGGUCUAGUGGCGCACGGGUGCGUAACGCGUGGGAACCUGCCCUUAGGUUCGGAAUAACUCCCCGAAAGGGGUGCUAAUACCGGAUAAUGUCUUCGGACCAAAGAUUUAUCGCCUUUGGAUGGGCCCGCGUCGGAUUAGCUAGUUGGUAGGGUAAAAGCCUACCAAGGCGACGAUCCAUAGCUGGUCUGAGAGGAUGAUCAGCCACACUGGGACUGAGACACGGCCCAGACUCCUACGGGAGGCAGCAGUGGGGAAUAUUGGACAAUGGGCGAAAGCCUGAUCCAGCAAUGCCGCGUGAGUGAUGAAGGCCUUAGGGUUGUAAAGCUCUUUUACCCGGGAUGAUAAUGACAGUACCGGGAGAAUAAGCUCCGGCUAACCCCGUG